ACUCCUACGGGAGGCAGCAGUGGGAAUAUUGCACAAUGGGCGCAAGCCUGAUGCAGCCAUGCCGCGUGUAUGAAGAAGGCCUUCGGGUUGUAAAGUACUUUCAGCAGUGAGGAAGGUGGAUAUGUUAAUAGCAUAUUCAUUUGACGUUAGCUGCAGAAGAAGCACCGGCUAACUCCGUGCCAGCAGCCGCGGUAAUACGGAGGGUGCGAGCGUUAAUCGGAAUUACUGGGCGUAAAGCGCAUGCAGGUGGUUUGUUAAGUCAGAUGUGAAAGCCCGGGGCUCAACCUCGGAAUUGCAUUUGAAACUGGCAAACUAGAGUACUGUAGAGGGGGGUAGAAUUUCAGGUGUAGCGGUGAAAUGCGUAGAGAUCUGAAGGAAUACCGGUGGCGAAGGCGGCCCCCUGGACAGAUACUGACACUCAGAUGCGAAAGCGUGGGGAGCAAACAGGAUUAGAUACCCUGGAGGCGUAG
rnacentral:rRNA from 1 species